GAUGAACGCUGACAGAAUGCUUAACACAUGCAAGUCAACUUGAAUUUGGGUUUUUAACUUAGGUUUGGGUGGCGGACGGGUGAGUAACGCGUAAAGAACUUGCCUCACAGCUAGGGACAACAUUUGGAAACGAAUGCUAAUACCUAAUAUUAUGAUAAUAGGGCAUCCUAUAAUUAUGAAAGCUAUAAGCGCUGUGAGAGAGCUUUGCGUCCCAUUAGCUAGUUGGAGAGGUAACGGCUCACCAAGGCGAUGAUGGGUAGCCGGCCUGAGAGGGUGAUCGGCCACAAGGGGACUGAGACACGGCCCUUACUCCUACGGGAGGCAGCAGUGGGGAAUAUUGGACAAUGGACCAAGAGUCUGAUCCAGCAAUUCUGUGUGCACGAUGAAGUUUUUCGGAAUGUAAAGUGCUUUCAGUUGGGAAGAAAGAAAUGACGGUACCAACAGAAGAAGUGACGGCUAAAUACGUGCCAGCAGCCGCGGUAAUACGUAUGUCACGAGCGUUAUCCGGAUUUAUUGGGCGUAAAGCGCGUCUAGGUGGUUAUGUAAGUCUGAUGUGAAAAUGCAGGGCUCAACUCUGUAUUGCGUUGGAAACUGUAUAACUAGAGUACUGGAGAGGUAAGCGGAACUACAAGUGUAGAGGUGAAAUUCGUAGAUAUUUGUAGGAAUGCCGAUGGGGAAGCCAGCUUACUGGACAGAUACUGACGCUAAAGCGCGAAAGCGUGGGUAGCAAACAGG
rnacentral:rRNA from 1 species